AUUGAACGCUGACGGCAGGCCUAACACAUGCAAGUCGAGCGGGGUUUUCGGACCUAGCGGCGGACGGGUGAGUAAUGCGUAGGAAGCUACCCGAUAGAGGGGGAUACCAGUUGGAAACGACUGUUAAUACCGCAUAAUGUCUACGGACCAAAGUGUGGGACCUUCGGGCCACAUGCUAUCGGAUGCGCCUACGUGGGAUUAGCUAGUUGGUGAGGUAAUGGCUCACCAAGGCGACGAUCCCUAGCUGGUUUGAGAGGAUGAUCAGCCACACUGGAACUGAGACACGGUCCAGACUCCUACGGGAGGCAGCAGUGGGGAAUAUUGGACAAUGGGCGCAAGCCUGAUCCAGCCAUGCCGCGUGUGUGAAGAAGGCCUUCGGGUUGUAAAGCACUUUCAGUAGGGAGGAAGAGUUGAGUGUUAAUAGUACUCAGCUUUGACGUUACCUACAGAAGAAGCACCGGCUAACUCUGUGCCAGCCGCCGCCGCGGUAA
rnacentral:rRNA from 1 species